GAUGAACGCUGGCGGCGUGCCUAAUACAUGCAAGUCGAGCGAACAGACGAGGAGCUUGCUCCUCUGACGUUAGCGGCGGACGGGUGAGUAACACGUGGAUAACCUACCUAUAAGACUGGGAUAACUUCGGGAAACCGGAGCUAAUACCGGAUAAUAUAUUGAACCGCAUGGUUCAAUAGUGAAAGACGGUUUUGCUGUCACUUAUAGAUGGAUCCGCGCCGCAUUAGCUAGUUGGUAAGGUAACGGCUUACCAAGGCAACGAUGCGUAGCCGACCUGAGAGGGUGAUCGGCGACACUGGAACUGAGACAGGGUCCAGACUCCUACGGGAGGCAGCAGUAGGGAACCUUCCGCAGUGGGCGAAAGCCUGGCGGAGCAACGCGGCGUGAGUGAUGAAGGUCUUCGGAUCGUAAAAAUCUGUUAUUAGGGAAGAACAAAUGUGUAAGUAACUAUGCACGUCUUGACGGUACCUGAUCAGAAAGCCACGGCUAACUACGUG
rnacentral:rRNA from 1 species